rnacentral:tRNA from 2 species
CCGUGACCUUGGUCAACUUGGCGAACAGGUUGCGCCCUUCCUGCGGGCUCUGGGCCAUGUUGGCCAGGACCCGGAAGCGGUUCAUGCCGUAGUCACGGU